AUCUCCCAUUUAUUUCAAAGUGUUAGAUUAGUUAGUAAUCACUUUAGUUUGUGUUUUUAAGUGUUUUGAUUCAAGUGGUAAACCAAUUUCGUCCGAAUUUGUGUUUGUGCUCAAAACUGCCCAGAAAGUGUUUUUAAGGCAGUUUUGAGACUUUUGAUUGCUGUUUUGAAUCUUUUUGUUUAUCUUAGUGUUUUAAACUUUAGUUUUGCAUUCUUCGAGUCUAGUUUAGUGUUUCAAACUUUGUUUUUAAGUUUUGAGUCAGUUUUCAAGUGAUUUGGCAAUCCCUCCUAAUCCCCGGCCUAGAACGAUCCCUACUUACAUACUUGCUACAAUUGAUAAAAAGAGGGUUUAAUUUGUGUGCUUAUAGAUUUCGCAUUAGGAAUCAAGGUCUUAUCAAGAUCUGAACUCAUACGAGAGACUGAACCACAUAAUUGAGAAUCAUGUAUAAUGGUGACGUCGUUAUUCUCAAGGUUGCUUCUAUAGAUAACAUAUAGAUAUCCAUUACCUAGGCCUACUACUCAGCCAUUUUUGAAAUGACUACAGAAGAGGUAUCAUCAUUGAUAACCAAGUUGAUUG
rnacentral:lncRNA from 1 species